rnacentral:rRNA from 1 species
GACGAACGCUGGCGGCGUGCUUAACACAUGCAAGUCGAACGGUGAAGGGGCCUGCUUUUGUGGGCCCUGGAUGAGUGGCGAACGGGUGAGUAACACGUGAGUAACCUGCCCCCUUCUUCUGGAUAACCGCAUGAAAGUGUGGCUAAUACGGGAUAUUCUGGAUCUGUCGCAUGAUGGGUCUGGGAAAGAUUGCGCCUUUGGGUGUUUUUGGUGGGGGAUGGGCUCGCGGCCUAUCAGCUUGUUGGUGGGGUGAUGGCCUACCAAGGCGGUGACGGGUAGCCGGCCUGAGAGGGUGGACGGUCACACUGGGACUGAGACACGGCCCAGACUCCUACGGGAGGCAGCAGUGGGGAAUAUUGCACAAUGGGCGCAAGCCUGAUGCAGCGACGCCGCGUGAGGGAUGGAGGCCUUCGGGUUGUAAACCUCUUUCGCCAGUGAAGCAGGCCUGCUCCUUGUGGGUGGGUUGACGGUAGCUGGAUAAGAAGCGCCGGCUAACUACGUG